rnacentral:tRNA from 1 species
GCCCCUGUAGUUAAAUGGAUAUAACUGCGGACUUCUAAGCCGCUAUUCGAGGUUCGAUUCCUCGCAGGGGCACAA